GGUUUUUUUAACCCUCUUCCAAAUGACUGAAGGAGAACUUGAAAUUUAUAGAUAUUCUAAGCAUAAUUUUUUUUUAUUGAUUAAUUCCAUUUAUUUGCACAUUUUUUUUUUCAACUUUUUGACGAAAAAAAUUAAUCAUUCUAUCUUUGGAUCCAAAAUUUAACCACUGAGUACCGAUACAUCAAGCAAACAUAUUUAUAAAAGAAAUCCUUUGGGGAAUUACUUUCGAUUUUCUUUAUGAACACUAUUUAUCUAGUGCUUUUUUGUUUCCUUAUUUGAAUCAUUCUAAAAUAAACAUUCUGUAGGGAAAUUCAUUGUUUUGUGGGAUCUUUACUUUUGAUAAAUUAUCUAGAGAGAUAGAUUGUGUAAAAGGAACAUCUCAACUGGUUUUUAUAUUGAUCAUAGUAUUAGUAUUUACACAGUGAAUGUGUAUGUACCAGUCGUGUUUGUAAUAUUGUUGAAUAUCUGUUAUGAUUCUCUCUCCUAAUUUAUUUAUUAUUUGUUGUACAUAUUGUGUGUCCUUUUCACAGUAAAUUCAAACAUGCU
rnacentral:sRNA from 1 species